rnacentral:rRNA from 1 species
ACUCCUACGGGAGGCAGCAGUAAGGAAUAUUGGUCAAUGGGCGGAAGCCUGAACCAGCCAUGCCGCGUGCAGGAAGACGGCCCUACGGGUUGUAAACUGCUUUUAUACUGGAAUAAACCCCCGAUCGUGAUCGGGGCUGAAUGUACAGUAAGAAUAAGGAUCGGCUAACUCCGUGCCAGCAGCCGCGGUAAU